UCGAUAUGCCCGAAGACUUAGGGCUUCU
rnacentral:sRNA from 1 species